rnacentral:rRNA from 1 species
GACGAACGCUGGCGGCGUGCCUAAUACAUGCAAGUCGAGCGAAGUUUUUCUGGUUCUUGCACUAGAAAAACUUAGCGGCGAACGGGUGAGUAACACGUAAAGAACCUGCCUCAUAGACUGGGACAACUAUUGGAAACGAUAGCUAAUACCGGAUAACAGCAUUAACUGCAUGGUUGAUGUUUAAAAGUUGGUUUUGCUAACACUAUGAGAUGGCUUUGCGGUGCAUUAGCUAGUUGGUGGGGUAAAGGCCUACCAAGGCGACGAUGCAUAGCCGACCUGAGAGGGUGAUCGGCCACACUGGGACUGAGACACGGCCCAGACUCCUACGGGAGGCAGCAGUAGGGAAUCUUCCGCAAUGGGCGAAAGCCUGACGGAGCAACGCCGCGUGAGUGAAGAAGGAUUUCGGUUCGUAAAGCUCUGUUGUUAGGGAAGAAUGAUUGUGUAGUAACUAUACACAGUAGAGACGGUACCUAAACAGAAAGCCACGGCUAACUACGUG